UGGGAGCGAAGCUCCUGGGCUGGGUGCAUGGGCGUGAGAAGAGUUUUACAGGGUCUUCCUCGGUGCCUUCUAAUCGGCGAGCUGUUUCCUUUGGCUGUGAUUCAAGGCUGAGGUCAGCCGUUCCCUUCACUGACCCGAGCCCGACCGAAGAGGUCGUCACCUCCUCCGCGCUGCAGUCGUCCCCGCCUUCUCCUUUGUGAAUUUUUGCCAUCCUGAAUUGGGGCACUGAGCGUCCAGGGUCUUCACUCUAAAAGUUUGUUCUUUUCCUGUAAGGUGGCAAACUCAGCUUUGAAUGGGGGCAACUGUUUGCUGAAGUGUGAUGUGUGAAGAGGUAGGAGGAAAUGAGCUUGAGCAUCUCAGAAGCUUCAAUUCAGGCCUCUCACUGUUGUGGCCUCUCCCGUUGCGGAGCACAGGCUCCGGACGCA